rnacentral:rRNA from 1 species
UCAAGCUACAAAGGGCGCAAGGAGAAUGCCUUGGCACUGGGAGCCGAUGAAAGACGUGGUAAGCUGCGAUAAGCUUCGGGGAGGAGCAAACAUCCUUUGAUCCGGAGAUUUCUGAAUGAGGAAACUCACCAGAGUUCAUACUCUGGUAUCCUGUACUGAAUUCAUAGGUACAGGAGGGGAACCGCCUGAACUGAAACAUCUAAGUAGGGCGAGGAAGAGACAUCAAACGAGAUUCCGUAAGUAGUGGCGAGCGAACGCGGAAGAGGGCAAACCGAGAGUAGAAAUACUUUCGGGGUACGGAGCGCAUUUAGGACUUAAGUUGUUAACCGAACGGCAUGGGAAGGCCGGUCAGAGAGUGUGAGAACCACGUAGGUGAAAACGGAGAGAGCUGCGCAGGAUCCAGAGUACGGCCAGACACGUGAAACCUGGUCGGAAUACGGGGGGACCACCCUCCAACCCUAAAUACUACCCAGUGACCGAUAGCGUAUAGUACUGUGAAGGAAAGGUGAAAAGCACCCCGGGAGGGGAGUGAAAAAGAACCUGAAACCCUGUGCCUACAAGCACCUAGAGCACGUCAAUGUGUGAUAGGGUACUUUUUGUAGAACGGUCCGGCGAGCGAUUGUAUGCAGCAAGGUUAAGGACUUAAGGUCUGGAGCCGAAGCGAAAGCGAGUUUGAAAAGGGCGUUAAGUUGCAUAUAAUGGGCCCGAAACCGGGUGACCUACCCAUGGUCAGGUUGAAGUGGAAGUAAAAUUCCAUGGAGGACCGAACCGACCUCCGUUGAAAAGGCGGCGGAUGAACUGUGGGUAGCGGAGAAAUUCCAAUCGAACCCGGAGAUAGCUGGUUCUCCCCGAAAUAGUUUUAGGACUAGCCUCAAGUUAGAUACCUGGAGGUAAAGCACUGAAUAGCCUAGCGGCCGAGAGGUUAGCGAAGCUUAUCAAACUCAGAAUGCCAGAGUAUUGAUGCUUGGGAGUCAGACAGUGUCAGAUAAAUGUCAUUGUCAAAAGGGAAACAGCCCAGAUCUACAGCUAAGGUCCCAAAGUCAGGUUAAGUGGAAAACGAUGUGAAGAUACGCAGACAACCAGGAUGUUGGCUCAGAAGCAGCCACUCAUUCAAAGAGUGCGUAAUAGCUCACUGGUCGAGCGUCUUUGCGCGGAGAAUUUAACGGGGCUAAACCUGACACCGAAGCUUAGGCAAUACAGCAAUGUAUUGGGUAGGGGAGCGUUGUAUACGCGGUGAAACAGUAGCGCAAGCGGCUGUGGAGUGUAUAGAAGUGAGAAUGCCGGAAUGAGUAGCGCGAAUGCAGUGAGAAUCUGCAUGGCCGAAAGCCUCAGGUUUCUGGAGGAAGGUUCGUCCGCUCCAGGUUAGUCGGGAGCUAAGGUGAGGCCUAACGGCGUAGCCGAUGCACAGACGGUAGAGAUUCCGUCACCACCAAAAGAGUUAAGCACAGGGACACAUUUGAAGUCUCAGAGCCGGGUGUUGGUUCCGGUAGAGAUCGAGGGAAAUUAGUACCGAAGUCUGAGAUGGAAGAUGGCGAGAAAAGCUGUGUGUAUUUCUGAGGUGCCCGUACCGCAAACCGACACAGGUAGGUAGGAAGAAGAUUCUAAGGCCAACGGGAGAAGGGUUGUUAAGGAACUCGGCAAAUUGACCCCGUAACUUCGGGAGAAGGGGUGCUCCAGAGAUGGAGCCGCAGAGAAUCGGCCCAAGCAACUGUUUACCAAAAACACAGGUUUGUGCUAAAUCGAAAGAUGACGUAUACGAGCUGACGCCUGCCCGGUGCUGGAAGGUUAAAAGGAGAUGUGCAAGCAUUGAAUUGAAGCCCCAGUGAACGGCGGCCGUAACUAUAACGGUCCUAAGGUAGCGAAAUUCCUUGUCAGGUAAG